CCUACGGGGGGCAGCAGUAAGGAAUUUUGGACAAUGGGGGAAACCCUGAUCCAGCAACGCCGCGUGGGCGAUGAAGGUCUUCGGAUCGUAAAGCCCUUUUCUGUGGGAAGAGGCAGGACGGUACCACAGGAAUAAGUCUCGGCUAACUACGUGCCAGCAGCCGCGGUAAAACGUAGGAGGCGAGCGUUAUCCGGAUUUACUGGGCGUAAAGCGCAUGCAGGCGGUUUGGCAAGUUGGGCGUGAAAUCUCUCGGCUUAACCGGGAGGGGUCGUCCAAUACUGCGGGACUUGAGUGCAGGAGAGGGAAGCGGAAUUCCCGGUGUAGCGGUAAUAUGCGCAGAUAUCGGGAAGAACACCAGUGGCGAAGGCGGCUUUCUGGCCUGUAACUGACGCUGAGAUGCGAAAGCUAGGGGAGCGAACGGGCUUAGAUACCCGUGUAGUC
rnacentral:rRNA from 1 species